rnacentral:rRNA from 1 species
GACGAACGCUGGCGGCGCGCUUAACACAUGCAAGUCGAGCGAGAACCAGGGCUUCGGCCCUGGGGACAGCGGCGAACGGGUGAGUAACACGUGGAUAACCUGCCCUCGGCACCGGGAUAGCCCGGGGAAACCCGGAUUAAUACCGGAUGGCCCUUCCGGCUCACGAGCCGGUCGGAAAAGGUAGCUUCGGCCUCCGGCCGAGGAUGGGUCCGCGGCGGAUUAGCUUGUUGGUGGGGUAACGGCCCACCAAGGCUCCGAUCCGUGGCUGGUCUGAGAGGACGAUCAGCCACACUGGGACUGAGACACGGCCCAGACUCCUACGGGAGGCGUCAGUGGGUAGUCUUGCGCAAUGGGCGAAAGCCUGACGCAGCGACGCCGCGUGAGGGAGGAAGGCCUUCGGGUUGUAAACCUCUUUCAGGAGGGACGAAGCUACUCGGGUGAAUAGCCCAGAGGGUGACGGUACCUCCAGAAGAAGCCCCGGCUAACUACGUGCCAGCCGCCGCAGUAAAAC